rnacentral:rRNA from 1 species
AGCCGCCGCGGUAAUACCAGCUCCGCGAGUGGUCGGGGUGUUUACUGGGCUUAAAGCGCCCGUAGCCGGCCCGGCAAGUCGCUCCUGAAAUCCCAGGGCUCAACCCUGGGGCGGGGGGCGAUACUGCCGGGCUAGGGGGCGGAAGAGGCCGCCGGUACUCCGGGGGUAGGGGCGAAAUCCGUUAAUCCCCGGAGGACCACCAGUGGCGAAAGCGGGCGGCCAGAACGCGCCCGACGGUGAGGGGCGAAAAGCCG